GAUGAACGCUAGCGGCAGGCUUAAUACAUGCAAGUCGUGGGGCAGCAGGAAUAGCAAUAUUUGCUGGCGACCGGCAAACGGGUGCGUAACACGUACACAACCUUCCUUGAAGUGGGGAAUAGCCUAAAGAAAUUUGGAUUAAUACCCCGUAAUAUAUAGAAAAGGCAUCUUUUUUAUAUUAUAGCCCUCGGGCGCUUGAUGAUGGGUGUGCGGCUGAUUAGGUAGUUGGCGGGGUAACGGCCCACCAAGCCUUCGAUCAGUAGCUGAUGUGAGAGCAUGAUCAGCCACACGGGCACUGAGACACGGGCCCGACUCCUACGGGAGGCAGCAGUAAGGAAUAUUGGUCAAUGGGCGAAAGCCUGAACCAGCCAUGCCGCGUGGAGGAUGAAGGUCCUCUGGAUUGUAAACUUCUUUUAUUUGGGACGAAAAAAGGGAAUUCUUUCUCACUUGACGGUACCAGAUGAAUAAGCACCGGCUAACUCCGUGCCAGCAGCCGCGGUAAUAUGGAGGGUGCAAGCGUUAUCCGGAUUCACUGGGUUUAAAGGGUGCGUAGGCGGGCAGGUAAGUCAGUGGUGAAAUCUUUGGGCUUAACCCGAAAACUGCCAUUGAUACUAUCUGUCUUGAAUAUUGUGGAGGUUUGCGGAAUAUGUCAUGUAGCGGUGAAAUGCUUAGAGAUGACAUAGAACACCUAUUGCGAAGGCAGCAAACUACGCAUAUAUUGACGCUGAGGCACGAAAGCGUGGGGAUCAAACAGGAUUAGAUACCCUGGUAGUCCNCNCCCUAAACGAUGGAUNCUCGACAUNCGCGAUNCACUGUGUGUGUCUGAGCGAAAGCGUUAAGUAUCCCACCUGGGAAGUACGACCGCAAGGUUG
rnacentral:rRNA from 1 species